AAGAUAUUAGUAAAUUAUUAUAUUGCCUUGUCAAGGCAAAGUUGUGGGUUAGACCCCCUGCAUAUCUUA
rnacentral:tRNA from 1 species